UUUAUGGAGAGUUUGAUCCUGGCUCAGGAUGAACGCUGGCGGCGUGCCUAAUACAUGCAAGUCGAGCGAACGGACGAGAAGNNNNNNNNUCUGAUGUUAGCGGCGGACGGGUGAGUAACACGUGGAUAACCUACCUAUAAGACUGGGAUAACUUCGGGAAACCGGAGCUAAUACCGGAUAAUAUUUUGAACCGCAUGGUUCAAAAGUGAAAGACGGUCUUGCUGUCACUUAUAGAUGGAUCCGCGCUGCAUUAGCUAGUUGGUAAGGUAACGGCUUACCAAGGCAACGAUGCAUAGCCGACCUGAGAGGGUGAUCGGCCACACUGGAACUGAGACACGGUCCAGACUCCUACGGGAGGCAGCAGUAGGGAAUCUUCCGCAAUGGGCGAAAGCCUGACGGAGCAACGCCGCGUGAGUGAUGAAGGUCUUCGGAUCGUAAAACUCUGUUAUUAGGGAAGAACAUAUGUGUAAGUAACUGUGCACAUCUUGACGGUACCUAAUCAGAAAGCCACGGCUAACUACGUGCCAGCAGCCGCGGUAAUACGUAGGUGGCAAGCGUUAUCCGGAAUUAUUGGGCGUAAAGCGCGCGUAGGCGGUUUUUUAAGUCUGAUGUGAAAGCCCACGGCUCAACCGUGGAGGGUCAUUGGAAACUGGAAAACUUGAGUGCAGAAGAGGAAAGUGGAAUUCCAUGUGUAGCGGUGAAAUGCGCAGAGAUAUGGAGGAACACCAGUGGCGAAGGCGACUUUCUGGUCUGUAACUGACGCUGAUGUGCGAAAGCGUGGGGAUCAAACAGGAUUAGAUACCCUGGUAGUCCACGCCGUAAACGAUGAGUGCUAAGUGUUAGGGGGUUUCCGCCCCUUAGUGCUGCAGCUAACGCAUUAAGCACUCCGCCUGGGGAGUACGACCGCAAGGUUGAAACUCAAAGGAAUUGACGGGGACCCGCACAAGCGGUGGAGCAUGUGGUUUAAUUCGAAGCAACGCGAAGAACCUUACCAAAUCUUGACAUCCUUUGACAACUCUAGAGAUAGAGCCUUCCCCUUCGGGGGACAAAGUGACAGGUGGUGCAUGGUUGUCGUCAGCUCGUGUCGUGAGAUGUUGGGUUAAGUCCCGCAACGAGCGCAACCCUUAAGCUUAGUUGCCAUCAUUAAGUUGGGCACUCUAAGUUGACUGCCGGUGACAAACCGGAGGAAGGUGGGGAUGACGUCAAAUCAUCAUGCCCCUUAUGAUUUGGGCUACACACGUGCUACAAUGGACAAUACAAAGGGCAGCGAAACCGCGAGGUCAAGCAAAUCCCAUAAAGUUGUUCUCAGUUCGGAUUGUAGUCUGCAACUCGACUACAUGAAGCUGGAAUCGCUAGUAAUCGUAGAUCAGCAUGCUACGGUGAAUACGUUCCCGGGUCUUGUACACACCGCCCGUCACACCACGAGAGUUUGUAACACCCGAAGCCGGUGGAGUAACCUUUUAGGAGCUAGCCGUCGAAGGUGGGACAAAUGAUUGGGGUGAAGUCGUAACAAGGUAGCCGUAUCGGAAGGUGCGGCUGGAUCACCUCCUUUCUA
rnacentral:rRNA from 1 species